rnacentral:rRNA from 1 species
GACAGAGGUGCCAAGCGUUAGGCGGAAUCACUGGGCUUAAAGGGGGUGUAGGCGGGCGAUCAAGGAGCUUGGGAAAUCCCACGGCUCAACCGUGGAACUGCUGGGUAUACUGGUUGUCUUGAGCCAGCUAGGGGCGAGCGGAACAGACGGUGGAGCGGUGAAAUGCGUAGAUAUCGUCUGGAACGCCGAAGGUGAAAACAGCUCGCUGGGGCUGCGCUGACGCUGAGACACGAAAGCCAGGGGAGCGAACGGG